CUGACCGGAGAGAAUUAUGGACCCAUACAUAAGUCUGGUGAUGCCCAACCUCCAUCCCUGACACCCGAGAGAUCCGAUGACAAGAAAAUUUUGGAAGUCACCAAUGAGAUCAUAGAGCUGCUGACAGGAGAGGUUCCUAUAAGGUGUCAGGAUGUCACUGUCUAUUUCUCCA